rnacentral:rRNA from 1 species
CCUAACACAUGCAAGUCGAGCGGCAGGCGCGGGGGCAACCCUGGCGGCGAGCGCCGGACGGGUGAGUAACGCUUGGGAAUCUGCCUGUUAGUGGGGGAUAACUCGGGGAAACUCGAGCUAAUACCGCAUACGCACUACGGUGGAAAGCCGGGGACCGCAAGGCCUGGCGCUAACAGAUGAGCCCAAGUCGGAUUAGCUAGUUGGUAGGGUAAUGGCCUACCAAGGCUACGAUCCGUAGCUGGUCUGAGAGGACGACCAGCCACACUGGGACUGAGACACGGCCCAGACUCCUACGGGAGGCAGCAGUGGGGAAUAUUGGACAAUGGGGGAAACCCUGAUCCAGCGACGCCGCGUGGGUGAAGAAGGCCUGCGGGUUGUAAAGCCCUUUCGGUGGGGAUGAAAAGCUUCGACCUAAUACGUCGGAGUCUUGACGUAACCCACAGAAGAAGCACCGGCUAACUCUGUGCCAGC